AAUCAGCAGACAAAGUGACCAAGACAACCUUACAUGUACCUGCAACUCAAACAAUGGCAGCCAGCAUGCUUGCAUUCACCUGGGCAGUGCCCCAACAACACUGGUUUACAAGACCAUGAAACAAGAGAGCAAAGAAGUCAGAGAACAUGACAUGGAAGGUGACCAGCUGCCAAUUCGGACCCGAAGAUUACGGCACAACAAUGAAAAGGAUUGGUGAAAUCUGCGUUUUGAAGAAAAGAACAUCUUGGAAAACAAUCUCUAAACAUUGCUAUUUCUAAAAAAAUGAAUAAU